UACGUAGGUGGCAAGCGUUGUCCGGAUUUACUGGGCGUAAAGGGCGUGCAGGCGGUUUGUUAAGUGCAGGGUGAAAGCUCCCGGCUCAACUGGGAGAGGUCCUUGCAUACUGGCGAACUCGAGGGAGGCAGAGGAAAGUGGAAUUCCCGGUGUAGUGGUGAUAUGCGUAGAUAUCGGGAGGAACACCUGUGGCGAAGGCGGCUUUCUGGGACGGUACUGACGCUGAGACGCGAAAGCGUGGGGAGCGAACAGG
rnacentral:rRNA from 1 species